UACUCAGAUGGGACCCUGGUCCAAACAAUGCUGAAGCUUCGUGAGUCAGAUGCUCGCCAUCCAGAUUGAGCAUCCCGACUUUGAAAUUCGAAUGGAAUGUGCCAUGAUCCAACGCUGACAGUCAAGAUCUUGCUAGAAUAAGGAUGAGUCGAUCAAAGGAGCAAAGCUAAUCUUAACGCCAGGGUUUGCUUAUUUUACUAAACAGAUGGUUCCUUC
rnacentral:lncRNA from 1 species